CCGCUGACGACCGGCGCACGGGUGCGUAACGCGUAUACAAUCUACCUUUUACAGAGGGAUAGCCCAGAGAAAUUUGGAUUAAUACCUCAUGGUAUUAUUAAUUGGCAUCGAUUAAUAAUUAAAACUCCGGUGGUAAAAGAUGAGUAUGCGUUCUAUUAGCUAGUUGGUAAGGUAACGGCUUACCAAGGCUACGAUAGAUAGGGGUCCUGAGAGGGAGAUCCCCCACACUGGUACUGAGACACGGACCAG
rnacentral:rRNA from 1 species